rnacentral:rRNA from 1 species
UACAGAGGGCUCAAGCGUUGUUCGGAUUCAUUGGGCAUAAAGGGUGUGUAGGUGGCGCCGUAAGUCGGGUGUGAAAUUUCGGAGCUUAACUCCGAAACUGCAUUCGAUACUGCGGUGCUUGAGGACUGGAGAGGAGACUGGAAUUCAUGGUGUAGCAGUGAAAUGCGUAGAGAUCAUGAGGAAGACCAGUGGCGAAGGCGGGUCUCUGGACAGUUCCUGACACUGAGACACGAAGGCCAGGGGAGCAAACGGG